rnacentral:lncRNA from 1 species
UAUCUUGAAUAUUAUUAUAGAUAUAGAUAAACUGUAAACAGCAAUAAUGUUCAGCAAAGUAAGAUCCACAAAUAAGUCAACAUGACCAAAAAGGUCAGUUGACCCCUUAAGGAGUUAUUGCCCUUUAUAGUCAAUUUUUAAUAUUUUUGUAAAUUUUAACAAAAUAUUUUCUUUUUAUGCCCCACCUACGAUAGUAGAGGGGCAUUAUGUUUUCUGAUCUGUGCGUCCGUUCGUCCGUCUGUCCCGCUUCAGGUUAAAGUUUUUGGUCAAGGUUGUUUUUGAUGAAGCUGAAGUCCAAUCAACUUGAAACUUAGUACAUAUCUUCCUUAUGAUAUCAUCUUUCUAAUUUUAAAGACAAAUUAAACUUUUGACCCCAAUUUCACGGUCCACUGAACAUAGAAAUGAAAGUGCGAGUUUCAGGUUAAAGUUUUUGGUCAAGGUAGUUUUUGAUGAAGUUGAAGUCCAAUCAACUUGAAACUUAGUACAAAUGUUCCCUAUGAUAUGAUCUUUCUAAUUUUAAUGCCUAAUUAUAUUUUUUACCCAUUUUCACGGUCCAUUGAACAUGGAAAAUGUUGGUGCGAGUGGGGC